rnacentral:rRNA from 1 species
CAAGCGGUGGAUGAUGUGGAUUAAUUCGAUGCAACGCGAAGAACCUUACCUGGUCUUGACAUGUACGGAAUCUCUUAGAGAUAGGAGAGUGCCUUCGGGAACCGUAACACAGGUGCUGCAUGGCUGUCGUCAGCUCGUGUCGUGAGAUGUUGGGUUAAGUCCCGCAACGAGCGCAACCCUUGUCAUUAGUUGCCAUCAUUAAGUUGGGCACUCUAAUGAGACUGCCGGUGAUAUGCCGGAGGAAGGUGGGGAUGACGUCAAGUCCUCAUGGCCCUUAUGACCAGGGCUUCACACGUCAUACAAUGGUCGGUACAGAGGGUAGCGAAGCCGCGAGGUGAAGCCAAUCUCAGAAAGCCGAUCGUAGUCCGGAUUGCACUCUGCAACUCGAGUGCAUGAAGUCGGAAUCGCUAGUAAUCGCAGGUCAGCAUACUGCGGUGAAUACGUUCCCGGGUCUUGUACACACC